UGCAACUGUCCUGUGGGAAGAUUGGAUUCUGCCUAUGUUUUUAGUCUACAGGUUGGCUGCCCUUCUAGGACCUCGUAUCUCAUCCAGUUCUCUAACUUGAACCCCACUGUGACAUUCUGACCAAUGGUUAGAGAGACUCUGUCCCCUAAAUGGAGUGCUGCAGAGGAAAAUAAUCUAUUUAUACUUGUUCUUUUUAAAAAUAUAAGACACAACAGACCUAUUAAAGCCCUGAUUUUUUAAAAAUGUACAUAAGAAAGAAAUUUGCUUAUAAUGGUUACAUUUUAAUAAGCUGUACAAGGUCAGAAAUAUUCUAUGACAUCAACCUCCAGUCAGGACAUUCUAACUGGCUGAUCUAAAUGACUUUGUAUAACCUUAUGUGUCUCUAAAUGAAUUAACUUGACUUAUUCAUUUACAGACUUAGCCUUGUUUAUGUAUAAGAAGAAUGUUCCUUCAGAGCUUUCCUGCUCAUGAUGUCCGGCACAGGAAAAAUGAUACGGGAGCUCGACUUGAUCUGCUGUUUUCUGUGCCUUAUUCUGAUAUGUGUGAGGUCUGAUCCCUGGGGGUGACCUUCAGUGCUGCCAUCUGUAAGGUUCUCAGAAUGAUUAAAGAGUGAAAAGACUACAAGCUGUCUUUGUUGCAGUAGAGAGUGGUUCUCAAACUUUUCACAGAUGUAACGAGUGAUAAUAAUAACAACUGUACUGGCAUCCAGGCGACAGUUCCCGACUCACCGACGGCAUCUCCCACACCUCCACCGAUUCUCCCGGGGGCCUUCGACUCAUCGAUGGUGGCUGGGAUCAGGGCACGGCGGCACCACGGAAAAGGGCUGUGUUUUUACCAUCAGUGUGACAGUGCCGUGCCACCUUUGCAGUUUUAAGGCCCAGGGAAAUGAGCCCGCCAGUGCUCUGUAGCGGCGAUAAGGAAAGGCUGCUCUUCAUAGAGGACUCACGCUCAGGGAGCCGUUUUCUGGUUGACUUCGGUUCCCAGAAGAGCCUCGGGAACUCUCGUGUCAUCUUUGCAUGCUUCCAUGAUAGUAUAUAGUAUAGUAGUAUAUUAUUUAAUCUUAAAAAAAAUUUGAGAUUUCCUGCGUACCACCAGAGAGAGCCCAAG